ACGCGGGGCUCGAACUCCCGGACCGUGAGAUCAUGACCUGAGCCAAAGUCGGAUGCUUAACCGACGGAGCCACCCAGGCGCCCCUUGGUUUAAUUUUAAAUAGGCCGUCAAUUUAAGUAUUGACGACAUUGGUGUUUAUUUUUUAAAGUGAACAUCAUUUUAAAGGUACCUACUAAAUUCAGGUAAUGGUCUCUCUCUAUUUGCCAUUUUGUGAAUCCACUAUUAACAUCCUUAUAACAGGCUUGUUAGUUCAGCAGAGGCCUUCAAGGCUUCCAGAAGAAAUCUAGGCUGGUCAGGAAGCUGACCUGGACAGUGGCAUUCCAUGAGUGGGUGUUUCCUAUGCCAGCAAAGCUGGGGCCCCCUUGCAAAUAUGAAGUCUUUUAAAGCAAUUAGGGGGUCCCUGCCAACUCCCACUCCUUUUUUAAUAUGAGAGGCAUCAGAAGCUCUGGGUCCAUUUCCUGAAGCACAACUCCUCUUCCUUCCUGCAUGUGCAGCUCAAAGGCCCUUCUGCAAGUGCUGGAUGGAGUCCAGGGGGCCAUGAGCAUUCUGCUAGUCCUACCCCUGAAAGUUUUUCUAAUAAAUAAGCUCUAAGCAUGCACUAUUUGUCAUUUCUGGUUUUAUUUGCACCCAUUAUUCAACCCUUCAUUAUUCAGAUGAACUUACGGUGCCUUUAAAACUUUAAUUGGUUUUCUUGUGGAUAUGAGAACUCCAGAGAUAUUACACAAGCCAGGGCCCAUUUCCUGGAAAGAUGUUUCAACUAUAACAUGACAAAAAUGAGGCCAUAAUGCGAAAGAACAGUCCAGUGGACUAGGAUGUUUAUAAACAACCCAGGAACACUUACAUGCAACAGCUACAGAAGAACCACCAAAUUAGGACUAUUCUGGCUCCUAAGAUCAAUUUAAAAGCACAUCUCAACUGUUAUGAAAAUUAUCUAAAUAUGCUUCACACCACCUGCAAGUCCUGUUUAAGAAUGGAUAUUCUGUGAACGUGGAGAAAAUUAUGCUAUCAGAUUGACCGUUGAAACCAAGAACCUCCAAUGAUACCAGCUGACAUCUUCUAUGAACUCCUGUUAGAACUUGAUUUGUUGAUGUUUGUUCAUGCCAUGAAGAUGGCUGAUGCCUCUAAUUUUAAAGUCCUUCCCUGGAUCUUAUUGCAAAAGAAGGAAAUGAUUCAUGCCCAGUGUUGGAGGAUGCCUAAGAACACAAUGGAAUCUUUGAGAGAUGAAUCAGCAUCUCAGUGAAGCUGGGAGAAUCAUAAACACUCCUCACAUCACAUGUCAAAAAACACCAAUCCAACCAUCUGGAGAAUGGUUUAGCAGUUCCAUCAGGGCCAUACUUGGUAAACGUCCCUUUAGGACCUCUUUUCCAUGCCUUCUACACUUAGGAGGAAUCAGAAACUGGAUGGAUAAUAGUGGUAACUCUUAAUUUAAGUUGGAUCUGAGCGGCCAUGCAAGUAAUACAGAAAUUAUGGGAAAAGGAUUGUGUAAUUCGUGUGUACCAAGGCCACGUGGCAGUUUGCUCCCAACAAUGUUGUAAAAGAAGAGAAAGGCUUUCUGUUUUUCCAGGAAAGAAUCUCCUAACACAUGGAACUGGACUGAAAUCAAGCACAUGGAAACAAGAAGGACAAAUAAAAAAAAAAAAAAGAGAGAGAGAGAGAGAGAGAAGAGGCACAAAUCUCCCCCAUGUGUGCAGAAGGGAAUGUUCUCAUACGACAUCGCAGUAACCGCGUGCAGUACAUGGAAAGGCAGUGCUGCCCCAGGGGAGGGGUGUGGAAUCAGAGGUGAGCUAAACAGUAGCCUUGAAGCCCAGUGUUACUGCCAACGUCGCCUUCCGCCACACCUGCGCUUUCACUGUAACUGUUUCACUCCAGCCGUGAAGGCCGUCAAGAUAGCUGUGCCAAGGGCUCCAUUUUCUGAUUGGGCAUUUUUUCCCCCUCCAAUUUAAUUCUUUUAAAUAUUUCUUACUUUGAUUAUUUUUUAUUUAACUACUGUUAAUUCACUGAUUUCAGCCUAAUUAGCUCUUCCUGAGUAAAUACAUUAGUGAAUUAAACUUCAUCAGAUUCUUUUUUUCUCCCUUAAUGAGUGAACAAAUGCAAUUUAUUGAUUUCUGGUGUGAAUUAAUAAAUGUUCAUAUUACAUUAAACCAGAGUAAACUUGAGAUUGCAACAAUAAACCACCUUUAUUUUUUUCCCUCCAAAUGCUUACUUGAUUUUUUUUUUUUCAGUCGGGUUAAUUUUGUUCUUGUCUGUAGAUAAAAACUCAAGAAUGACCCAAGGCAUUUGUAAUCAUUUAUAGGCAAUA